UACGUAGGGUGCAAGCGUUAAUCGGAAUUACUGGGCGUAAAGCGUGCGCAGGCGGUUGUGCAAGACCGAUGUGAAAUCCCCGGGCUCAACCUGGGAAUGGCAUCGGUGACUGCACGGCUAGAGUGUGUCAGAGGGGGGUAGAAUUCCACGUGUAGCAGUGAAAUGCGUAGAGAUGUGGAGGAAUACCGAUGGCGAAGGCAGCCCCCUGGGAUAACACUGACGCUCAUGCACGAAAGCGUGGGGAGCAAACAGG
rnacentral:rRNA from 1 species